GUAGGUGUUGGCUUGGGGGGCGGGGGCCCUCCCUAACCCCAGCCCUGCUCUCUGGCUUUCUGGAGGUGUAUCUAGACUUCCGUGCUGCUCCCCUCGGGGCCUCUGUCUUAGCAUGUCUCUGGGGAGCUCUGACUCAGUUCUACUCUAUCUGUGGGAUGUCUCUCUCUCCCCCACUCUCUGUUUCCCUUUCUUUUUUUGUCCCCUCUCUCCAGGGCUCCUGAUUUCUCUUCAGCCUGACGCUCUUUUCAGUUAACGGCAAGGCGGUGCACCCAAGUCCGGUGGUGUCCUACCUGGUGACCUCCUACCUGUGCUGGGACGCCAGCGACUUGAUGCUGCACUCCGCAGGGCGCAGCGAGGCGGACAUCCAAACAGCGGAACUCAGACGCUGACUCCGAGCGCACCCCGGGCCUUCCCAUUUCAUACACCCUCGAGGAUGAGACCCAAGCACCUCCAAGGAAUAGCACCCGAGGUCUUCAGGACACCGACCGGUAGCCAUGGCCAGAUGCCCGGCCAACCCCUUCAGCGUGGCCACGCCCUGGAUAUUCGACCUCCCCUGAGGCCCCACCCCCUGAUAUCAGGCCACGCCCUCCGAGGGGACCGGUGGCAAACUCCAGCCCUCGCUCUAGGGCCCGCCCUUUGCGGCUUUGUCCCUGCCCACUGGGUCCUCACAGUACCUCCACCCCAGAGGCCCAGCAUCCCCUCCCGUUCUGCAGACACUUGUCCAGCGUCCCGCUGAGCUCGGCAGUGUGGCUAGUUUGUGUGGCCCUGCCCCUGGUGCCCAGCCAGGGUGGUCUGCAUGGAACUUCUUUCCCGGAGUUCCGGCCUCAGCUCCGAUGUCCACCCUUGUCCCCAGGUGGACACAGCACCGCCCAGCAUUUGGUGCAACUCCACCCUUCUGCAGAACGGGCCCCUCCCUGGGAAGGCAUGGCUUGCAAUAACAUCCCUCUGUACCUUUUCUGGCUUCCCCGCCACAAUAAAACCUCUCAGCCUCAGACCUUCCAUUGCCCCCCACCUCCCCACCAGGGCAGGGUCCAUCCUAGUGUGAGUGAACUGUUCUGGCGUCCCUGACUUGCCCUUUGGGA
rnacentral:lncRNA from 10 species